CUGGCGGGAUUGUCGCCACCGCCACCGCCCGAGCGCGAGAUACAGCUUCCCCGGCCGGAGGAGUCGCUGCCCCACGCGCCCGCGCUCUGCCCGCCGAGAUGCUGUACAUUCCAAGUUUACCAAAGAUUAAACUGAUGCUCAUGGGAUAAUCUGGAAAUCUAAGAACAGUUUUCUUCACUACAUCUAUAAGAAAACGUGUGCAAAUUCCAGUCAGCUUAAAGGGGCUUUUGAACAAAUGCAACUCAACUUCUGAAGACUCCUUAAGCCCUGCCAACCAUGGUGAAGAUGGAAUUGUGAAUAUGGCAACUUUCCUACGUGGCUUUGAAGAAAAGGGGUUCAAGAACGACAGACCUGAGGACCAGUUCCACAAAG